rfam:Lepisosteus oculatus linkage group LG17, whole genome shotgun sequence.
GCCAGCAGCCAUAUCACUCUGCAACUCACAACUGGCAGCCCACUGAAGCUCAGAAGGUGAGAGCCUGGCCAGUACCUGGAUGGGAGACCUCCUGGGAAAAACUAAGGUUGCUGCUGGAA